AAGGGCAGCCCCCCUCCGGACCCCUGCAGGCCCACCCCCAUCUCAUCCGGCGCGCAGGCGGGGCUGGAGGCGGAGAAGCGGAAACCAUGGCAACCAGGUCCUUGACUUCAGUUUUGCAAAAGCCUGGUCGUCAUGGUAACAGGGCUGUCUUGGUGGGUUGAUUGGAGGAUGGGAAGGGAGGGGGUAGAGGACAAUGAGGACUUCGAGCUUUGGAGCAUUUGUGGGGGAAAAAGGCGGGAAAAGGGGAUGGCAUUCCAAGACUCCCAAUCGACUCCUGAAGCCUCUGACUGUGUGAAACGGAAGCUUCCCUAUACGUAUAAUAAAAUUCAAUUUAUAACUUAUGCAGAGAAUGGACCUAAGGAACAAAACCAAGACUAGGAGCUGGAGAGAUGGCUUAGUGACCAGGAGCAGAUGAGGACCCUAGUCCAGUUCCCAGCACCCCCUCCCCUGUCCCCAUGGGUGGCUCACAAGUGCCUGUAAUUCCAGCUCCAGGAAUCCAACCCCUUCUUCUGGCCUCAGGGGCACCUGUACAUCCACUUGCAUGUGCAUACAUACGCACACACAUAAAUAAAAA
rnacentral:lncRNA from 1 species